rnacentral:tRNA from 1 species
GGGCUAUUAGCUUAGUUGGUCAGAGCUUCUGGCUCAUAACCGGAUGGUCGUAGGUUCGAGUCCUACAUGGCCCA